AUGGCGCCUAGGGACAGCAAGGAGAUGCUGCUGCAGAGGGCCGCCGAGUCCGCCAUCCGCUCCAUCGGCCUCGGCUACGACGUCGCCGCCGACGUCCGGCUCAAGUUCUGCAAGCAGCGCGGCUCGCCCGACCCGUCGCUCAUCGAGCUCGACCGCGAUGGGACCCAGGACAUCGUGCUCCCCGGCAGCCUGACCACGGUCGCCGGCGUGCCCAAGUCCAUCAAGUGCGACAAGGGGGAGCGGAUGCGGUUCCGGUCCGAUGUCCUGUCGUUCCAGCAGAUGUCGGAGCAAUUCAACCGGGAGUUAUCUUUGUCCGGGAAAAUUCCAUCUGGCCUGUUCAAUAAUAUGUUUGAAUUUACUGGCUCCUGGCAGAAAGAUGCUGCGAGUACCAAGUCACUUGCUUUUGAUGGUUGGUGUAUCACACUAUAUACUGUUGCACUCUCGAAGGCACAAAUUGUACUACGAGAUCAUGUUAAGCAGGCUGUUCCAUCAACCUGGGAACCUGCUGCUUUGGCAAGGUUCAUUCAAAAAUUUGGGACACAUAUAGUCGUUGGUGUUAAAAUGGGAGGGAAGGAUGUAAUUUAUUUGAAACAACAGCAUUCAUCAAGCUUGCAAGCCGUUGAUGUUCAAAAACGAUUGAAGGAGAUGUCUGACAGGAGGUUUCUUGAUGCAAAUGGGCAAUCUGACAUUAGUUUCAGGGAUGCGUACGGGAAGGAGGAUAAGAGUGACAGAAGAGAGCAGCGACUGAGAUUUGUGGAGUCUAGUCCACUAAAUUCUUAUGCUUCGAAGGAGGAUUUGGUAGUGCUGCCUAGGCGAAGAGGUGGAAGGGAUAAAGAUAUGAUCUCUCAUAGCGAGUGGCUGAGUAGUGUUCAAUCAGAACCUGAUGUUAUCUCGAUGUCUUUUAUACCUAUUACUUCAUUGUUGAAUGGAGUUCCUGGUAGUGGCUUUCUGAAUCAUGCAAUUAAUCUGUACCUUCGUUAUAAGCCCCCAAUUGAGGAAUUGCACCAGUUUUUGGAGUUCCAGCUUCCAAGGCAGUGGGCACCAGUUUAUAGUGACCUUCCUCUCGGUCCUCAGAGGAAAAAGCAAAGCAGUGCAUCUUUGCCAGUAAAUUUUAUUGGUCCAACACUUUAUGUUUGUACCAACAUGGUUGAUGUAGGCAAAAGACCAAUUACGGGGCUCCGGUUGUUUCUUGAAGGAAAGAAGAGUAACAAAUUAGCUAUCCAUCUCCAACAUCUCUGUUCUCUUCCCCAGAUUAUCCAGCUCGAAGAUGACCCUUUCAACAACCGAACUCCAGAACCAUUUGACCGCAAAUACGUGGAACCAAUAGGAUCGUGGAAGCGUUUCUCCCACGUUUGCACAGCGCCUGUGGAGUCAGAGGACGCCUCCAUCGUCACAGGAGCACGGCUAGAAGUAAUCAGCCAGGGCUUCAAGAAGAUACUGUUCCUUCGGUUGCACUUCUCCAAGGUCGUGAACGCCCACUCCGUCAGGCAGCCUGAGUGGGAGGGGUCCCCGAAUCUGAUCCAGAAGUCGGGCCUCAUCUCGACGCUCAUCAGCACGCAUUUCUCCACGGCGGUCCAGAAGCCGAUGCCCCGCCCUGCCGAUGUGAACAUCAACUCGGCGGUGUACCCCGGCGGCCCGCCCGCCCCGGUGCAGCCCCCAAAGCUUCUCAAGUUUGUGGACACGACGGAGAUGGUGCGUGGGCCGCAGGACCUGCCGGGGUAUUGGGUGGUGUCGGGCGCCAAGCUGCACCUCGAGAGGGGUAAGAUAUCCCUGCGGGUGCGGUACUCGCUCCUGACGGCCAUGCUGCCCGAUGACGAGGAUUACUCUCUUGAUGACGAGUUCUAG
rnacentral:rRNA from 1 species